GAUGAACGCUGGCGGCGUGCCUAAUACAUGCAAGUCGAGCGAACAGACGAGGAGCUUGCUCCUCUGACGUUAGCGGCGGACGGGUGAGUAACACGUGGAUAACCUACCUAUAAGACUGGGAUAACUUCGGGAAACCGGAGCUAAUACCGGAUAAUAUAUUGAACCGCAUGGUUCAAUAGUGAAAGACGGUUUUGCUGUCACUUAUAGAUGGAUCCGCGCCGCAUUAGCUCGUUGGUAAGGUAACGGCUUACCAAGGCAACGAUGCGUAGCCGACCUGAGAGGGGGAUCGGCCACACUGGAACUGAGACACGGUCCAGACGCCUACGGGAGGCAGCAGUAGGGAAUCUUCCGCAAUGGGCGAAAGCCUUACGGAGCAACGCCGCGUGAGUGAUGAAGGUCUUCGGAUCGUAAAACUCUGUUAUUAGGGAAGAACAAAUGUGUAAGUAACUAUGCACGUCUUGACGGUACCUAAUCAGAAAGCCACGGCUAACUACGUG
rnacentral:rRNA from 1 species